GACGAACGCUGGCGGCGUGCUUAACACAUGCAAGUCGAGCGAUGAAGCUUCUUCGGAAGUGGAUUAGCGGCGGACGGGUGAGUAACACGUGGGCAACCUGCCUUGUAGAGGGGGAUAGCCUUCCGAAAGGAAGAUUAAUACCGCAUAAAACAGCAACACCGCAUGGUGUAACUGUCAAAGAUUUAUCGCUACAAGAUGGGCCCGCGGCGCAUUAGCUAGUUGGUGAGGUAACGGCUCACCAAGGCAACGAUGCGUAGCCGACCUGAGAGGGUGAUCGGCCACAUUGGAACUGAGACACGGUCCAGACUCCUACGGGAGGCAGCAGUGGGGAAUAUUGCACAAUGGGCGCAAGCCUGAUGCAGCAACGCCGCGUGAGUGAUGACGGUCUUCGGAUUGUAAAGCUCUUUGAUUAGGGACGAUAAUGACGGUACCUAAAGAACAAGCCACGGCUAACUACGUGCCAGCAGCCGCGGUAAUACGUAGGUGGCAAGCGUUGUCCGGAUUUAUUGGGCGUAAAGGGAGCGUAGGCGGAUUUUUAAGUCAGAUGUGAAAUACCCAGGGCUCAACCCGGGUGCUGCAUUUGAUACUGGAAAUCUAGAGUACAGGAGAGGACAGUGGAAUUCCUAGUGUAGCGGUGAAAUGCGUAGAGAUUAGGAAGGACACCAGUGGCGAAGGCGACUGUCUGGACUGUAACUGACGCUGAGGCUCGAAAGCGUGG
rnacentral:rRNA from 1 species